ACGAACGCUGGCGGCGUGCUUAACACAUGCAAGUCGAACGGAAAGGCCCUGCUUUUGUGGGGUGCUCGAGUGGCGAACGGGUGAGUAACACGUGAGUAACCUGCCCUUGACUUUGGGAUAACUUCAGGAAACUGGGGCUAAUACCGGAUAGGAGCUCCUGCUGCAUGGUGGGGGUUGGAAAGUUUCGGCGGUUGGGGAUGGACUCGCGGCUUAUCAGCUUAUUGGUGGGGUAGUGGCUUACCAAGGCUUUGACGGGUAGCCGGCCUGAGAGGGUGACCGGCCACAUUGGGACUGAGAUACGGCCCAGACUCCUACGGGAGGCAGCAGUGGGGAAUAUUGCACAAUGGGCGGAAGCCUGAUGCAGCAACGCCGCGUGCGGGAUGACGGCCUUCGGGUUGUAAACCGCUUUCGCCUGUGACGAAGCGUGAGUGACGGUAAUGGGUAAAGAAGCACCGGCUAACUACGUG
rnacentral:rRNA from 1 species